AGGCUUGUAGCUCAGGUGGUUAGAGCGCACCCCUGAUAAGGGUGAGGUCGGUGGUUCAAGUCCACUCAGGUUUC
rnacentral:tRNA from 1 species